GCUUAAGCAGUUAAUCUGCGUAUGAACUCUCAGUCUUAGAGAUCACUCAAAGGAUAUUAAUCAUCCCUGAGCGUUUAAAAACAUACAUUUGUGCAAGGAAAAAAGUAGAGGUUGAGUGGCAGCGGGGUAGCUGCAGGCUCAGGUCGGCUCUUAACUGCAGGUCUUCCAAAGCUGGGCUGAAGCACCUUGGGGUGCUGUGGCUGGCCCCGGAGCUCAGUUGGAAGGCAAGACUGACAGCUGAUCUAUACGGAGGCAGGAUCCAUCCGUCACUGUCAGUGGCACGGUUUGACUGGAUGAAACCCUUCCACAAGCUGUGAGGUCUCCGAGUACGUCAUGGGAGGCACCAGACAAUGAGAAACAAUGCCUUUAGCCUGCAUCUACCUCGUCAUCUGCUCUGCAACAACUGGCAAAGCUGGGCCAUGGGGCAGCGGUGGGAGCUUUCUGAGCUGGCCUUGUUGCCUGCUUUGGGUGGCGUGGGCAGCUGUGGAAGAGCACCCUUAAUUUCAGAGUACUGUCGUGGAGAGCUCAGAGAAGCAAAGUGCCUGUGGGCACCUCUGGGACUGUCUGUUCUGCCAUCCAUCCUGUAUGCCGGCUGCUUCCCUUCCAUGGUUUUCCAAUUCCCACUGCCUGACAGUGAGUGGUUGUUGAGAAGCUGGCUUGGCUUUGGCUGUGCCCAUCACCCCUAUGCAGGGAGGACUGGAGGGCUUUUCAGUAGUCUCAUUCAGUGCAGAAGUUGUGUUGCAUGCAGAGCAGAUGGAGCCCCACUCCUUCCAUCUUACCAGGGCGUGGAGAUGCGCAACCAGUGAUGCCUUGUGACACUGGGUUCUCUCUCUGUGCAGUUGAAACACAGGCAUAUGGCGUGUGCCGUACAGCAAAGCUAGUGCACUGAGGUCCCUUUUGGGGGGAGAAGUCAUCGCUUGUAUAGAAACGUCAGCCUUCAGCAACCUUCUUGCUUCUCUUGGGCCUUCCCAUCCCUCCCACAUUGCUUAUGUUCGCCUCCUCGGAGCUUAGGUGAAAACCAAUUAAAUGUUUUGGGAUGGAGAGAGCUGUACAUCCUAGGAGUGCUGAGCCAUCCCUCCAUGGGCGCCAGGGAGGUGUCCAGAGACCUUAGGCUGAAAUUUGCUGUGCUGGGGAGAUCUCUGCCAUUGCUUUUAGUGGGUUCUGGACCACGAUCUGGGAUUCCAAGAUGCCUUUUUUUUUUUUUUCUUUGCUCUUCUCCUCUAAGCUUGCCUUUCUGUCUUCCCUUGUUUGUGUUUGCAUCCCAUAUUGUGUUGCUUUAUUUCACAUUGUGAGUAACGUGAGCAACAUCUUUACUUUGGCCAGGGCUGUAAUGAAAUUUCAUAUGGCAGUGUGCUGAUUUUUCCUUCUGAAAAUAAAUAAAGCUCAGAGACUUUUGCUG
rnacentral:lncRNA from 1 species